rnacentral:tRNA from 1 species
GGGGAUUUGGCUCAGUGGUAGAGCACUUGCCUAGCAAGUGCAAGGUCCUGGGUUCGGUCCCCAGCUCCG